AGUGAACGCUGGCGGUAGGCCUAACACAUGCAAGCCGAACGGCAGCACAGUAAGAGCUUGCUCUUACGGGUGGCGAGUGGCGGACGGGUGAGGAAUAUAUCGGAAUCUACUUUUUCGUGGGGGAUAACGUAGGGAAACUUACGCUAAUACCGCAUACGACCUACGGGUGAAAGCAGGGGAUCUUCGGACCUUGCGCGAUUGAAUGAGCCGAUGUCGGAUUAGCUAGUUGGCGGGGUAAAGGCCCACCAAGGCGACGAUCCGUAGCUGGUCUGAGAGGAUGAUCCGCCACACUGGAACUGAGACACGGUCCAGACUCCUACGGGAGGCAGCAGUGGGGAAUAUUGGACAAUGGGCGCAAGCCUGAUCCAGCCAUACCGCGUGGGUGAAGAAGGCCUUCGGGUUGUAAAGCCCUUUUGUUGGGAAAGAAAAGCAGCAGGUUAAUACCCCGCUGUUCUGACGGUACCCAAAGAAUAAGCACCGGCUAACUUCGUG
rnacentral:rRNA from 1 species